CCUUGCACUCCAAAAUCCUGGUACAGCCAAACUGUUCACAGAUAUAAGAAAAUCUCCAGCGUCACAUGGAGGGAUCGGAUAGGGAAGGGUUAAAACAGGCCCUCCCAAGGCUGACAAGCACGACAGUGCUGCUGGAAGCUGAUUGCCAGAUACGACAAACAAAGCGGUGGCAAGGCCACCCGGUUCUUAACCGAGCCAGGGUCCGCCCUCCCGGAUUGUUCAAUAAAGGCCUUAUUUUCCUUAUUGAUGGAAAGACCUCACGAUGGAAACGUGGACGGGUCACUGAGCGCCGGCUUUGAGGAAACCUGCACCGAAGGGGACCGUCGCCGGAUUCCGAGCGCGGCCCCACACCUGCUCUGCAGACACCGAUCGGCUCCCCGGGCGGGUGGGACACUCGACCUCGGCCUGUCGCACUGAGGACCGGUGGGGAGGUGGGGGAUGGCACCCGGGGCGGCGGCCUGGCAGCGGCCCAAAGCCGCGCAGAGGCCGCGGGCUACCGGGGGAAACGGGGGGCCCUCCUCCACCGAGGCCACAGCCGGGCCUAGGUCUCUCUUCAGCACAGUCGCAGCUCACGCCCCACAGCCCCGACCCCGCGGAGCCCGGGUGCCCCGCAUCAGUCCGCCCCCGGGGCUCCCUCUCACUCACCAUCUUCGCAGCGGCGGUUGCAGGGAUUCAGGGGAGGGAGCCGGCGGGAACCGAGUGUGCGGAACAACCUCCUCACACCAGCAGGACGAGAAAGCGAGCGCAGAGCCGACGCGGCACCGUGAGCCUACUAAGGGGCGGUCGCGCGCCUCGGGUCAAAAUGCGCCUGCGCACGUCACGCACUGCCCGCGUUGCUACACGACGGGCCGGCCCGGCAAUGCCCCGCCCCGGGGGCAGCCUGGAGUCCGGACUGCGGGGGCGUCGCUCACCUGCCCGGGGCUGAGGGGCGGGACCCCUUCGCCAGCUCCAGUCUUGAGGGGCGCGGGCAGGUUCUACUUCCUCAACUGCAGGCAAUAAGGAAGUUGGGGCGGUUUUAAGCCUUUACCACUGGCUGCAGGUGUUUGGCAAGGACGUGGGAAUUACCUGAAGAACUUGUUCCAAAUUAGGCUUACACUUAAUCUUUGGGGGAAAAUAACUCUCAACCUGCUGGAGGCCAGAUGUGCUGAGUUUUUGUCUCCUGAGAAAGGAAGGAGGUGAAGAGUAAGGAAAGGUUUACCGACAGCUCCUGAGAGACAGGAGGGGUCCCAGAAGUGCGUGGCCCCACAGGCGCUUUCUCCAAGAAUGUUCUAUGGAGCAAAAUCACAAGGGAGAUUCUCAGGCCUGGCCAUAUUGUCUCCAUCUUGAGUCCUGGCCCCCUUCAGAUGUGCCUUCAGCAGCAGUUUUGAUGUGUUUUCAUCUUCCACACUGACUCCCUUGAGGGCUUAUCCCUGUCUGACUACCUAUUAAUUUCUACCUAACUUAGCUGUCUAGUAUCUUGAUCUUGUACCUUCCAGCCUCCAAAGCAAUAGGAAUAUAUCUCUGUUUUCUCUGCUGACCCCCAGUCUGUGUGUGGCUUUGUGCUGUACAGCCUGAACAGACUAUAACACAUAAAGUCUCUCCUUGAAUACAGCAUGGGUAUGUUCCAUUUCUGAUUUAGAAGACGUUUUGCAAAUGCAGUACUUGAUCUAUGAACAUGCAAGCACUUUCAUUUGAAGCCAUUAAUAUGACUGGCAGAGAAUAAAUUCACUUUGAAGAGAUUGCAGAGACACCGGUGUUUUGUUUUUUUGUAUUGUUUUGUUUUUUUGGUACUGGGGAUUGAACUCAGGACCUUGCGCUUGCAAGGCAGGUGCCGGCUAAAUCCCUGGCCUGAGACAUGGGUGUUAAUAGUCUGAAAAAGCUCCUUUGCCAGGGGUAAACCCUAUCAGAAGGAAGUGUACAAAACUAUUUUUGAAUCUUUUCCCUGCCUUCCCACAAAUUCACCUCCUCCAUAUCUCCUACCCUUUAUGGUGUUUUGCUGGUUGUAUAGUGUUCUAUAGUUCACUUUCAUACAAUUAAUGAUUAUCUUGGUGACCUGGCCUUAUCAAGAAAUCAUUCCUUAUAAUUGCAGAAAAGCAUGACUGUCCAUUUGUUUAAUCUCUGUCCUACUGAUAGCCGUUUAGUUUCUUUCCAAAGCAUGACUAUCACAGUGUCUCGAUGAACAGCCUUAUGACUAGCCUCUUUGCACACAAGCAAGUACACUUCUCAGAAAAGGACAAAUAAGGGAAUCAGGUACUUGGUUCAAGGCUGAGAGUUCAAGCUCUUCAAAGUAUCUGUGGACAGAAUGUACCAUAAAAAUAUGAAAAGUAAGAAAACAUGCACACACCCCCAAGGUACACUGUUGAAUGAAUGAAUGAAAACAAGUUGCAGCUAGCACUUGGGAAGCUGAAGUAGGAGGAUCGCUGCAAGUUCAAGGCCAGUGUGGGCUACAUAGCACAAAGCAAGCCUGCACUACAAAAAAAAAAGAACAAAAAAGCUGAGGCCCUACAUGAUGAGACUUUCCGCAUUUUUAAAGAUGGUCUAUAUUUUACAGACUUCAAAAUAGUAACCUCAACUGCUAUCAAAUUUUGAUAUGAUUUCACUUAUAAAAGAAGAGCAAAGGCAAGGAAUUCAAAAAUGGCAUAUUGACUUGGUAGUGUUUGGGACCCAUUUCUAUACUGUUGCUUUGCUAUGCAAAGAUUCCUUUCCUGAGGUCACUUCCUACUCCAGAAUGGGUACUGGAACAGGUAUUCCUUCCCUACUCCAAGCAGUAAGAAGGAAGAAAAGGUAAAAAGGGCACCCCUCCGUUUUUCAGGAAACUUCCCAGAAGUACCAUACAGAGUUUUCCCUUUUAUCUCAUUGACCAGAACUUAGUCAUAUGUGAAAUGUAGCAUUAUGAGUAGCAUUAUGCUCAGCUAAGAAAUCAGGAUGCCUCCUUUACUAAGGAAGAAGGGGAAAUAGAUAUUGGGAGAUAACUAGUGGUGACUGCCAUAAGUAGUCACCACUACUGUCUCAUUCCACAGACAGGGAAGGUGCAGAGAUGCUCCUCAGGGACUCAGGGAAGUGUGGACCAAGCCCAUGAGAAAUGGCGAGAGAGCCGGGUGUUUCGAUGCAGCCUCAACAAUGGCAGAGACGGUUCACUGGAAGACAAUUGGGAGUUACAGAGAACACAUUCUGAACACCCCUCUCCUUGCUGCCCACAGCCUGGUCCUGUGGGCCAGUCAGCCUCAAGGCCUGGAAUCCAGCAGCUUUCCAGGAGCAGCAGCAUCCCCAGAAUUCUGCUCAAGCCCAGCAGGUGAAGACAUGAGCUGUCUAAGUCUGCAGGUGAAGCUAAUGAGACAUUGGGGGAAUCCACACACUGUGAAAAAAAUAGGGACAAAUGGAAGCAGAAGGAGGAAGAGGAAGAAAUCAUCAGGAGCGUAAUAAAUAUUCUCAAAAAGCAAAGGAAAGAUGUUGGGAAGCCAAAGGCAAGAAUAAGCAGUUGAAGAAAAAUUGGAGAUGUUAGGAAUAUAAAAUAUUAUAGAGCUAAAAGAUUCAGUGGAUGAGCUGGGGACACCCCAAACACUGGAUACACCCAAAGACUGGAUACACCCCAAACAGAGAUGUGCGCUAAGGGAUGAGGCCCACGAAUUAGAGAUCCAGAGAAUUAGAGAACAGGCCAAGGCAUGGAGGAGAAAGGGAAAGUCCAGUCUGUGAAAGGGAAUCCACUACAGUGGAACUAGCAAAACAAGGGAAUGAAAUGCUUGAGAAAAUAGUGACUGAUCCUGCUGCUUUUAAGUUUUUGUUUUUUGAGACAAGCUUUCAUUUUGUAGUUCAGGC
ensembl:lncRNA